UUUGCCUUAUAUAAAGUAUAAGUACCUCUGAAUCUUGGAGUUUUAGAGUAUAGAUAUAUUAUAUAUUUAUAAGUAUAAGAAUUCUUGGAGUUUUAGAGUAUAGAUAUAUUAUAUAUUUAUAAGUAUAAGAAUCAAUCUUAUUAGAUGUCAAUAAGAUGUAAUUAAUAAUAAAUUAAUAUUUACAAUCUUAUUAGAUGUCAAUAAGAUGUAAUUAAUAAUAAAUUAAUAUUUAAAUACCAAAUAUACUAAUCAUGAAUUAUAAUCUAUUUAAAUAUUUAUUGUAAGUGAAAAAGAUGAUUACAAUAUAAUUAAAUCAAUAAAAAGUAUUUUCAUCUAUACUUUAUUAGAGUAAUAAAGUAAUAAAGUAUAGAUGAAAAUAAUUUGGGAGGGGUUUUUUUUGAAGGUUGAAUGCAUUUUAAAUAUAUUAAGAAGUUUAUAGCCCUAGUGAAAGGGGUUAGGGAAGAGAGUUAUGAGUUUUAUUCUGGCUUGAUAAAUUUAUUAUGGUAUUAAAUUAUAUAUAUAUAUUUGUGGAUAAUAUUAAAUCUAAAUGGUUUAUUAGUAGGAAUGUAAUAUUUUGUAUUAGUUAUUGAAGAUAUUUUGAUCUAGUAAUUAUUAAUAAAUAUUGAUUAAGUAUGUGCCAGCAGUCGCGGUUAGACAUUGAAUAUAAAUAAAUUUUAUUAGUUAUGUAGUUUACAAAUUAUGUAAUUAUUAUAUAUAAUAGAGAUUAUUAGGUGGAAUUAAUAUUUUUAAGAUAAUAUAAUAAGUAUAAAAGGUGAUUCUAUGAAAUCAAAUAAUUAAACUAGGAUUAGAUACCCUAUUAUUGUUGAUUUAAAUGGGAAAACUGGAGUAGUAAUAGUUAUGGACUUGAAACUUAAAGAAUUUGGCGGUAUUUUAGUCUAUUUAGAGGAAUCUGUUCAGUAAUUGAUAGUCCACACUGUACCUUACUUAAUUUAUAUUUGUAUACCGUCGUUGUUGAGAAUUUUUGUAGAAGGAUUUUCUUAAUGUUUAAAAAGAAAAAAUUUCAGAUCAAGGUGCAGUUUAUAGUUAAGUUGAAAUGGAUUACAUUACUGUGUAUGUGUGGAUUGAGUUUGAAAUAAUAAAGGUGAAAUUGGAUUUAAUAGUAAUAGAUUUGAAGAUUGUUAUUAUGAAGAUAGCUCUAGAAUAUGUACACAUCGCCCGUCGCUCUCGUUAAUUAAGGUGAGAUAAGUCGUAACAUAGUAGGUGUACCGGAAGGUGUAGCUAGAUUGA
rnacentral:rRNA from 1 species